GUGCUCUCUUUGGCAGCAUGUAUAUUAAAAAUUGAAAUGAUAAAGAGAUUACCAUGGCCCCUGCCAAGGAUGACAUGCAAAUUCAUGAAAAUUUUCAUAUUUAA